rnacentral:tRNA from 1 species
UGCCGCAUUGGUGUAGUGGGAACACAUCCGAUUGUCGAUCGGAUGCCGGGGGUUCGAUUCCCCCAUGUGGCGA